rnacentral:rRNA from 1 species
UGGGGGAUAUUGCACAAUGGGCGAAAGCCUGAUGCUGCGACGCCGCGUGGGGGAUGAAGGCCUUCGGGUUGUAAACUUCUUUUGCUCUGAACAAGGCGCACCAUGGGGUGUGUUGAGUGUAGGGGUUGAUUAGCGCCGGCUAACUACGUGCCAGCAGCCGCGGUAAUACGUAGGGCGCGAGCGUUGUCCGGAAUUAUUGGGCGUAAAGGGCUUGUAGGUGGCUGGUUGCGUCUGUCGUGAAAGCUCAUGGCUUAACUGUGGGUUUGCGGUGGGUACGGGCUGACUUGAGUGCAGUAGGGGAGGCUGGAAUUCCUGGUGUAGCGGUGGAAUGCGCAGAUAUCAGGAGGAAUACCGGUGGCGAAGGCGGGUCUCUGGGCUGUUACUGACACUGAGGAGCGAAAGCAUGGGGAGCGAACAGG